CAAUAGAUUUUACCAUUUUGGAAAUACUAAAAAGCAAAACCAACUCUUUUGUUCCGCAUUGAGGUUCAUGGUUUAGUCGGAAAAGCUCCGCGCUUUAGAUUUAUUUUGAAUCUAACUUGUGUGAAAAAAGUUAAUUUUAAAUAAAUAGUUCAUUUCCUGUUUAAUAUGUCUUUGGCAAAGACUGGUUGCUCGUCGGCAUAUAGGUUGAAUUUGAAUUUGUUCCAAACAUGAGUGCGAAUCUCAUAAGAAAACCUUUCAAGCUUGUAAGCGAAGACCGACAAACGAGGAAAGGAGUUGUCGUUAGUAACCUCGAAGAGUUGAUUUAUAAAGCCAGAACAAUCUUCAAUCUGGGGCCAGAUAACAUUCAAAUUUUACUUGAAAGAGAUGGAACUGAAAUAUUAGAAGAUGAAUUCCUAUUAUUUCUUGAAAACUUUACCGAUCUUGUAGUUGUUCAAAGCAAAUGUCAAAAAAUGACAAAUUGCCAAAGACUGGAUGUAUGCAAUGAGUCGAUAACCACAGAGCAGGAAUAUGAAGCAGAUCACACAGAGGAAAUCCAAACCUCAUUGACCGAGGAAGCCAUGGUUCAUUAUAUUGUUGAAGAUGACAAGAUUAUUCGUGUUAACGAUAGCAAAGAAAGGGAACGCAAUUUUGAAAUAGUUUCUGGAGGGACUGACAAAGGAAGAGAUUUGUUACUCGACGACAUGGGGUACAGAUAUGGAAUUAAGGCCAAGAGUACAAGUUCAGUCAUCUGGCAUUGCACGGCACGUCCUGGAAAGACAAGCACUAGCGCAAUCGAUUGUCGAGCAACGGUUCGUCAAAAGAAUAACGUAUUUUCGUUUGGGAAAAGGCCUCAUUCCUGCAAACGAAGUCCUGAACUCAAUAAUGCAAUCAAAAUUCGUCGAGAAAUAAAAGAAAGGAUUGAUCGGGGUGAAGCAGCAGUGGCAGAAGAUGCAGUUAAAAUAGUUAAGGAAGUUAUGGCCAAGUAUCGUGAAAGAAAUGUUGAAGUUCCUCAAGAAUCUUAUCUCGUAAGAAUUGGCUAUCGUCGCCUCAAGAAAUUUCGAGAAGGUCGUCGCCCCAGCUGAUUGGGGCGUACAAUUUCAUUUAUGCCUCAUCAAGCAGUUCUUCGAGUGUCAUCAGCACCAAUCCUUUUAAGGAACUUAAAAGGACAUUUCAUUAAGUAGCUUUUCCCAUUUACUUGGAAGAAAACAAACUGAAAGCAAGACAAACGAGCUCAGUGUGAAGCCAUCCCAUUAAACAGCAGGAACCAACCGAGUUGAGAUUUACGUGCAUUUUUUUUCUGUUGCGUUUGUUUUGCCUGCCCUCUCUUUUUUUUUGUCAUUGAGAAGGUUGAUGUAUUUGUGUGGGUUAUUGCUUUUGUCUUCCCAUAUUUCACUCUUAUCCUUUAAAGCAUUUCAAUAUGUGUACAUGUGUGUUACGUACAGUACAACACUAUGCUGUUUGGCCAUAG
rnacentral:misc_RNA from 1 species